rnacentral:lncRNA from 1 species
CAUCUACUUCCUUGUUGUCACUUCCCAGAUCACUUUCACUUUAUGCUCUUCUAAAAUUAAAACAAAGAUCAUCGACCACAAAACACAAUUGUUCUUUUGUAGCUCAUGCUAGAAUACCCUCUUUGUUACAUCUCCUUCAUUUUUCUGAUCCAAAAUUUAGUAGCCUACUAUAUCUCACCCACUGUCCUUCUUUCCUCCAGCUAUGGUAGAGAACUGCUCCUCCAACUUUAUGUACAUUUGAAUCACCUGGGAGUUCCUGUGAACUUCGGGUUCUGAUUUAAUAAGGACACCCAAAGAGUCUGCAUUUCCUGUAACUCUCAAAAGAAGCUGUGGAGUACUCUGAAUAGCAAAGCACUCUAAACUUGGAAGAAAAAUUGCCUGCUUGAGGAUGCCAUUUUGUUAUCUUCAGCUCAAUCCUGUACCCACUUCAAUGUUAUUUGCAGGCCCAUUACCCCAACACUGCAUUCACGAAAGUCAUCAGUGACUACACAUUGAGAAAACAAGAAUGACAUUUUCAGUUCUCAACUAAUUUGAAUUU